GCAAAGCAGUUUUAAGCAGUUCCGAGGGAGUUGGGACUCCAGGUUUGGGUUUGGUUGUGGAUUUGUUGCGCUUGGCGGUAGUGUGCAGUAGAGAUGGCGCUUCUAAAAGGAAGAGAGCGACCUGCAACUGUUAAGGCAUCGCUGAGCGUUGGGGUGACUCCUUUUGCUAUCGUGUCUUUCCGAUGCAGAGGGACGACCUGUGCCCCAAAGGCCGCUGAUAGAGUUGAGAGUAGAGGGCCACAGGGGGGCGAGUCGGCUGCGGCGUAGGUGGGAAGAUGCGACCGGUGGCUAUAUGACUAGAUAACGGGUUUUGGUUUUGUUUCCACUUGGAAGGUACAGAGCCACGAGCAAAGCAGAAUAGUGGCGCUGGAGCUGCCUUGGAUGAGGAGAGCCAUGGUGGAGCGCAAGCCUCGGCGUGGAAGCCCUAUAGGCGACGCAGGCUGGUGGGCGAGCGGUCAAGGUUCAGCAUGCAGCCUCGGAGGGGCACAGCUUUGUGCCGACAAAUGAUCUGGGAAGGUGCCGAUCGGGCCGCCUCUGGAACAUGAUGAGCGUCUGAGGUG